rnacentral:rRNA from 1 species
UAUUACUUUUUUUUUGUUCUUUUUUAUGUUUUUUUUGUAAAAUAUUUUGAUUUUUUGUAUUUUUUUGUAAUAUUUAAAAUUUGGUUUUUGAACUGGAUUAGUACCCAGGUAAUCAAAGUUUAUUAAUUCGGGAGUAAAGUUUUGUUUAAACCGAAAAAAUAUUGACUGACUUUAGAUUUUUCUUUGGAAUAUGUGUUUUUGGAGAGCCCUCUUUUUUGGUAAAUUUUAUUGGCACGUGUAUGAUUGUUUAGUUUUUAUUUUAUUUGUGUUGCUUUUUUUGUUUUUUUGCAUUUAAAACAGAUAUAUAUUUGGCUUAUAAAUUUAUUUUUCAUGUGUUACUAU